CACGUAGGGUGCGAGCGUUGUCCGGAAUUAUUGGGCGUAAAGAGCUCGUAGGCGGUGUGUCGCGUCGGAUGUGAAACCCCGGGGCUUAACCCUGGGCCUGCAUUCGAUACGGGCAGACUAGAGUUCGGUAGGGGAGACGUGGAAUUCCUGGUGUAGCGGUGAAAUGCGUAGAUAUGCGGAGGAACACCGAUGGCGAAGGCAAUCCCCUGGGCCUCGCGACUC
rnacentral:rRNA from 1 species